GACGAACGCUGGCGGCGUGCUUAACACAUGCAAGUCGAACGGAAAGGCCCUGCUUUUGUGGGGUGCUCGAGUGGCGAACGGGUGAGUAACACGUGAGUAACCUGCCCUUGACUUUGGGAUAACUUCAGGAAACUGGGGCUAAUACCGGAUAGGAGCUCCUGCUGCAUGGUGGGGGUUGGAAAGUUUCGGCGGUUGGGGAUGGACUCGCGGCUUAUCAGCUUGUUGGUGGGGUAGUGGCUUACCAAGGCUUUGACGGGUAGCCGGCCUGAGAGGGUGACCGGGCAAAAUGGGGCUGGGGAUCCGCCCAGGAUCCCUCCGGGAGGAAGCGGUGGGAAAAAUGGACCAAGGGGCGGAAGCCGGAGGAGGCACCGCGGGGGGCGGGAGGACGGCUUUGGGGUGUAAAACCGCUUUGGCUGGGGACGAAGGGUGAUGGCCGUUAAUGGUAAAGAAGCACCGGCUAACUACGU
rnacentral:rRNA from 1 species